AACGAACGCUGGCGGCAUGCCUAACACAUGCAAGUCGAACGAGACCUUCGGGUCUAGUGGCGCACGGGUGCGUAACGCGUGGGAACCUGCCCUUAGGUUCGGAAUAACUCCCCGAAAGGGGUGCUAAUACCGGAUAAUGUCUUCGGACCAAAGAUUUAUCGCCUUUGGAUGGGCCCGCGUUGGAUUAGCUAGUUGGUAGGGUAAAAGCCUACCAAGGCGACGAUCCAUAGCUGGUCUGAGAGGAUGAUCAGCCACACUGGGACUGAGACACGGCCCAGACCCCUACGGGAGGCAGCGGUGGGGAAUAUUGGAAAAUGGGCGAAAGCCUGAUCCAGCAAUGCCGGGUGGGUGAUGAAGGCCUUAGGGUUGUAAAGCUCUUUUACCCGGGAUGAUAAUGACAGUACCGGGAGAAUAAGCCCCGGCUAACCCCGU
rnacentral:rRNA from 1 species